ACUCCUACGGGAGGCAGCAGUGGGGAAUUUUGGACAAUGGGCGAAAGCCUGAUCCAGCAAUGCCGCGUGCAGGAUGAAGGCCUUCGGGUUGUAAACUGCUUUUGUACGGAACGAAAAAGCUCCUUCUAAUACAGGGGGCCCAUGACGGUACCGUAAGAAUAAGCACCGGCUAACUACGUGCCAGCAGCCGCGGUAAUACGUAGGGUGCGAGCGUUAAUCGGAAUUACUGGGCGUAAAGCGUGCGCAGGCGGUUAUGUAAGACAGAUGUGAAAUCCCCGGGCUCAACCUGGGAACUGCAUUUGUGACUGCAUGGCUAGAGUACGGUAGAGGGGGAUGGAAUUCCGCGUGUAGCAGUGAAAUGCGUAGAUAUGCGGAGGAACACCGAUGGCGAAGGCAAUCCCCUGGACCUGUACUGACGCUCAUGCACGAAAGCGUGGGGAGCAAACAGGAUUAGAAACCCCUGUAGUCCC
rnacentral:rRNA from 1 species